UGGCUCAGGACGAACGCUGGCGGCGUGCCUAAUACAUGCAAGUUGAGCGCUGAAGGUUGGUACUUGUACCAACUGGAUGAGCAGCGAACGGGUGAGUAACGCGUGGGGAAUCUGCCUUUGAGCGGGGGACAACAUUUGGAAACGAAUGCUAAUACCGCAUAAAAACUUUAAACACAAGUUUUAAGUUUGAAAGAUGCAAUUGCAUCACUCAAAGAUGAUCCCGCGUUGUAUUAGCUAGUUGGUGAGGUAAAGGCUCACCAAGGCGAUGAUACAUAGCCGACCUGAGAGGGUGAUCGGCCACAUUGACGAGACCNC
rnacentral:rRNA from 1 species